AUUGAACGCUGGCGGAAUGCUUUACACAUGCAGGUCGAACGGCAGCACGGACUUCGGUCUGGUGGCGGGUGGCGAACGGGUGAGUAAUGUAUCGGAACGUGCCCAGUCGUGGGGGAUAACGUAGUGAAAAUUACGCUAAUACCGCAUACGAUCUAUGGAUGAAAGCGGGGGAUCGCAAGACCUCGCGCGAUUGGAGCGGCCGAUAUCAGAUUAGGUAGUUGGUGGGGUAAAGGCCCACCAAGCCAACGAUCUGUAGCUGGUCUGAGAGGACGACCAGCCACACUGGAACUGAGACACGGUCCAGACUCCUACGGGAGGCAGCAGUGGGGAAUUUUGGACAAUGGGCGAAAGCCUGAUCCAGCCAUUCCGCGUGCAGGAUGAAGGCCCUCGGGUUGUAAACUGCUUUUGUACAGAACGAAAAGGUUUCUACUAAUACUAGGAGCUCAUGACGGUACUGUAAGAAUAAGCACCGGCUAACUACGUGCCAGCAGCCGCCGUAA
rnacentral:rRNA from 1 species